rnacentral:misc_RNA from 1 species
AAAGUCGUAACAAGGUUUCCGUAGGUGAACCUGCGGAAGGAUCAUUAACAAAUCGGUUGUGUAGAAAGGUGUUUGAUAAGGCUAUGGCUUUAUCAUUCUCUUUCUAAACACACAUUUACGCUUGUAUUGUUUGACAGAGUAAAUUUUAUAUUUAAAUCAGAGACAACUUUUAACAAUGGAUCUCUUGGCUCUU